rnacentral:tRNA from 1 species
UGGCUCAGUGGUAGAGCGCUUGCCUUGCAUGCCUGAGGCCCUGAGUUCGAUUUCUCAG